AGUCGACGGUACAGGAAGAAGCUUGCUUCUUUGCUGACGAGUGGCGGACGGGUGAGUAAUGUCUGGGAAACUGCCUGAUGGAGGGGGAUAACUACUGGAAACGGUAGCUAAUACCGCAUAACGUCGCAAGACCAAAGAGGGGGACCUUCGGGCCUCUUGCCAUCGGAUGUGCCCAGAUGGGAUUAGCUAGUAGGUGGGGUAACGGCUCACCUAGGCGACGAUCCCUAGCUGGUCUGAGAGGAUGACCAGCCACACUGGAACUGAGACACGGUCCAGACUCCUACGGGAGGCAGCAGUGGGGAAUAUUGCACAAUGGGCGCGAGCCUGAUGCAGCCAUGCCGCGUGUAUGAAGAAGGCCUUCGGGUUGUAAAGACUUUCAGCGGGGAGGAAGGGAGUAAAGUUAAUACCUUUGCUCAUUGACGUUACCCGCAGUAGAAGCACCGGCUAACUCCGUGCCAGCGGCCGCGGUAAUACGGAGGGUGCAAGCGUUAAUCGGAAUUACUGGGCGUAAAGCGCACGCAGGCGGUUUGUUAAGUCAGAUGUGAAAUCCCCGGGCUCAACCUGGGAACUGCAUCUGAUACUGGCGAGCUUGAGUCUCGUAGAGGGGGGUAGAAUUCCAGGUGUAGCGGUGAAAUGCGUAGAGAUCUGGAGGAAUACCGGUGGCGAAGGCGGCCCCCUGGACGAAGACUGACGCUCAGGUGCGAAAGCGUGGGGAGCAACAGG
rnacentral:rRNA from 1 species